rnacentral:rRNA from 1 species
GUCUGCAACCCGACUACAUGAAGCCGGAAUCGCUAGUAACCGCGGAUCAGAAUGCCGCGGUGAAUACGUUCCCGGGUCUUGUACACACCGCCCGUCACACCAUGGGAGUCGGAAAUGCCCGAAGUCUGUGACCCAACCGCAAGGAGGGAGCAGCCGAAGGCAGGUCGGAUGACUGGGGUGAAGUCGUAACAAGGUAUC